rnacentral:rRNA from 1 species
UACAGAGGGUGCAAGCGUUGUUCGGAAUUAUUGGGCGUAAAGGGUGCGUAGGUGGCGCGGUAAGUCGGGUGUGAAAUCUCGGAGCUUAACUCCGAAAUUGCAUUCGAUACUGCCGUGCUUGAGGACUGGAGAGGAGACUGGAAUUUACGGUGUAGCAGUGAAAUGCGUAGAGAUCGUAAGGAAGACCAGUGGCGAAGGCGGGUCUCUGGACAGUUCCUGACACUGAGGCACGAAGGCCAGGGGAGCAAACGGG